rnacentral:rRNA from 1 species
UACAGAGGUGGCAAGCGUUGUUCGGAAUUACUGGGCGUAAAGGGCGCGUAGGCGGCCAUCUAAGUCAGACGUGAAAUCCCCCGGCUUAACCUGGGAACUGCGUCUGAUACUGGACGGCUGGAGUUUGGGAGAGGGAUGUAGAAUUCCCGGUGUAGCGGUGAAAUGCGUAGAGAUCGGGAGGAACACCAGUGGCGAAGGCGGCCAUCUGGAUCAACACUGACGCUGAGGCACGAAAGCGUGGGGAGCAAACAGG